UACGAAGGGUGCAAACGUUGCUCGGAAUUAUUGGGCGUAAAGAGCUCGUAGGCGGUUUGUCGCGUCUGCUGUGAAAGUCCGAGGCUCAACCUCGGAUCUGCAGUGGGUACGGGCAGACUAGAGUGUGGUAGGGGGGACUGGAAUUCCUGGUGUAGCGGUGGAAUGCGCAGAUAUCAGGAGGAACACCAAUGGCGAAGGCAGGUCUCUGGGCCACAACUGACGCUGAGGAGCGAAAGCAUGGGGAGCGAACAGG
rnacentral:rRNA from 1 species